rnacentral:rRNA from 1 species
UACGUAGGGGGCAAGCGUUGUCCGGAUUUACUGGGCGUAAAGCGCGUGUAGGCGGCGCGUCAAGUCGGGUGUGAAACCCCGGGGCUCAACCCCGGCGGCCGCCCGAACUGGCGCGCUUGAGGACGGAAGAGGGGAGUGGAAUUCCGUGGUGUGCGGUGAAAUGCGUAGAGAAUCAGGAGGAACAGCCCGUGGCGAAGGCGGCUCCCCUGGUCCGUCCCUGAGCGCUGACGACGGCGAAAGCGCGGGGAGCGAACGGG